rnacentral:rRNA from 1 species
UACGUAGGAUCCGAGCGUUGUCCGGAUUUACUGGGUGUAAAGGGUGCGCAGGCGGACUGGUAAGUCAGUGGUGAAAUCUCGUCGCUUAACGACGAAAACUGCCUUUUGAUACUAUCAGUCUUGAAUCCGGUAGAGAUCUGUGGAAUUCCGAGUGUAGCAGUGAAAUGUGUAGAUAUUGGAAGAACACCAGUGGCGAAGGCAGCAGAUUGGGCCGGUAUUGACGCUCAGGCACAAAAGCAUGGGGGAUCAAACAGG